rnacentral:tRNA from 1 species
GGUGGCUCAGUGGUAGAGUGCUUGCCUUAUAUGCAUGAUGUCCUGGGUUCAAUUCCUCAGCACCA